UAUGGGGCAAGCGUUAUCCGGAUUUACUGGGUGUAAAGGGAGCGUAGACGGCAUGGCAAGUCUGAUGUGAAAGGCUGGGGCUCAACCCCGGGACUGCAUUGGAAACUGUCUGGCUGGAGUGCGGGAGAGGUAAGUGGAAUUCCUAGUGUAGCGGUGAAAUGCGUAGAUAUUAGGAGGAACACCAGUGGCGAAGGCGGCUUACUGGACCGUAACUGACGUUGAGGCUCGAAAGCGUGGGGAGCAAA
rnacentral:rRNA from 1 species